CCUACGGGAGGCAGCAGUGAGGAAUAUUGGUCAAUGGGCGCGAGCCUGAACCAGCCACGUAGCGUGAAGGAUGACUGCCCUCCGGGUUGUAACCUUCUUUUAUAAAGGAAUAAAGUGAGGCGCGUGUGCCUUUUUGUAUGUGCUUUAUGAAUAGGGAUCGGCUAACUCCGUGCCAUCAGCCGCGGUAAUACGGAGGAUCCGAGCGUUAUCCGGAUUUAUUGGGUUUAAAGGGAGCGUAGAUGGGUUGUUAAGUCAGUUGUGAAAGUUUGCGGCUCAACCGUAAAAUUGCACUUGAUACUGGCAGCCUUGAGUACAGUUGAGGUAGGCGGAAUUCGUGGUGUAGCGGUGAAAUGCUUAGAUAUCACGAAGAACUCCGAUUGCGAAGGCAGCCUACUAAACUGCCACUGACAUUGAUGCUCGAAAGUGUGGGUAUCAAACAGGAUUAGAUACCCUUGUAGUC
rnacentral:rRNA from 1 species